GCGGAUGUGAUGAAACGGCAGACAUGCAGGCUUCAGAUGCCUGUGCUAGAAAUAGCGUAUGGGUUCGAAUCCCAUUAUCCGCACCA
rnacentral:tRNA from 1 species